AUCGAUUGAAAAAAGACUGGAACAGCCAUUGCAGUACAUUGAGCUCCACAGAGACAGCGCCGGGGCACAUGAGAGCCGGAUGGGCACUGGGCGACUCUGUGCCUCGCUGAGGAAAAAAUAAACAUGGGCAAAAGAGAUCCUAAGAAGCCGAGAGGCAAAAUGUCAUCAUAUGCAUUCUUUGUGCAAACUUGCCUGGAGGAGCACAAGAAGAAGCACCCCGAUGCUUCAGUCAGCUUCUCGGAGUUUUCUAAGAAGUGCUCAGAGAGGUGGAAGACCAUGUCUGCUAAAGAGAAAGGAAAAUUCGAAGACAUGGCAAAGGCGGACAAGGCCCAUUAUGAAAGAGAAAUGAAAACUUAUAUCCCUCCUAAAGGGGAAACAAAAAAGAAGUUCAAGGAUCCCAAUGCACCCAAGAGGCCUCCUUUGGCCUUUUUCUUGUUUUGUUCUGAAUAUUGUCCAAAAGUCAAAGGAGAAUAUCUUGGCCUAUCCAUUGGUGAUGUUGCAAAGAAACUGGGAGAGAUGUGGAAUAACACUGCUGCAGAUGACAAGGAAAAGUACGAAAAGGAUAUUGCUGCGUAUCGAGCAAAAGGGAAGCCUGAUGCAGCAAAAAAGGGAGUUGUCAAGGCUGAAAAAAGCAAGAAAAAGAAGGAAGAGGAAGAAGAUGAAGAAGAUGAUGAGGAUGAGGAGGAGGAGGAAGAUGAAGACGAAGAGGAAGAAGAUGAUAUGAUGAAUAAGUUGGUUCUAGUGCAGUUUUUUUUUCUUGUCUAUAAAGCAUUUAACCCCCCGUAUACAACUCCUUUUAAAGAAAAAAUUGAAAUGUAAGGCUGUGUAAGAUUUGUUUUUAAACUGUACAGUGUCUUUUUGUGUAUAGUUAACACACUACUGAAUGUGUCUUUAGAUAGCCCUGUCCUGGUGGUAUUUUCAGUAGCCACUAACCUUGCCUGGUACAGUAUGGGGGUUGUAAAUUGGCAUGGAAAUUUAAAGCAGGUUCUUGCUGGUGCACAGCACUAAUUUGUUAUAUAUGGGGAUAGUAGUUUUUUCAUCUUUAGUUGUCUCUGAUGCAGCUUAUACGAAAUAAGUGUUGUUCUGUUAACUGAAUACCACUCUGAAAUUGCGA